AUAACGAUACGGGACUCGAUAUGAGGCCUCGUAAUCGGAAUGAGUACACUCUAAAUCCUUUAACAAAAAUCUAUUGGAGGGCAAGUCUGGUGCCAGCAGCCGCGGUAAUUCCAGCUCCAA
rnacentral:misc_RNA from 13 species